rnacentral:rRNA from 1 species
UACGUAGGGUGCGAGCGUGUCCGGAUUUAUUGGGCGUAAAGGGCUCGUAGGCGGCGUGUCGCGUCGGGGAGUGAAAGCCCGUUGCUUAACGGCGGGUUGGCUUUCGGUACGGGCAUGCUGGAGUGCGGCAGGGGAGACUGGAAUUCCUGGUGUAGCGGUGGAAUGCGCAGAUAUCAGGAGGAACACCGGUGGCGAAGGCGGGGUCUCUGGGCCGUAACUGACG